rnacentral:lncRNA from 1 species
UUCUAGGGUCUUGUCGCCACACUGGCAGGUCCUAGCCUUUGGUUAGGAUUAUUCUUGUUUCACUCCUACAGGUAUAAGACCUGUGAUUUUUUUUUUUUUUUUAACUUGUACCUUCCUUUAGAGGCUUAAUUGUUCUAAAUGAUUAUCUGAGCUUGAUUAAAUCAUGUUUAUAAUCCUAGCAUUUAGGAGGUUGCGGCAGGAGAAUUACCCCAAGUUUGAGGCCAUCCUGAGUUACAGUGUGACUUUCUCAAAAAGAGUAAAUACAGGAGGCAGAAGCAGGUGGGGUCUGUGAGUUUGAGACCAGGCUAUUCUACAUAGCAAGUUACAGAUGAGCCAGGGAGACAUUGUGGGCCUCUGUCUAAAAAUAAGUAAACACCAGUGCUGCAUUGCUGAAAUCCCAUCACUUGGGAGGCAGAGGCAGAGGUUCAAGAAGUUCAAGGCUGCUCUUGAUUUACAAGAUUCUGUUUGGUGAAAAAAGACUGAAGUUGUGGCUCAGCUGUUAAGAGUACUUUGCUCUUAACAGUCUUUUUUUUUUUAAAAGAUACUUUUUAGGUUAUGCCUCUGUGUGUGUGUGUGUGUGUGUGUGUGUGUUCGUGCAUGUGCCUGCUACAAAGGUCAAAGUAGGAUCCUGGAACCAGAGCUAACAAUGGUUGUGAGCUACCAUGUGAGUGCUAGGAACUGAAGCACUACAAGUGCUCUCAGCUGCUGAAGCACCUCUUCAGCCCUAGAUACUUAAAAUUAUUACCCAUUUUGCAUGUGAAGAAGGUGAGACUCAGAUUAUAUAACUUAUUACACAACUAAUAAGAAUAAAACAGACUAAUAAUGAUGAAACAGGUUUGUUGUUGUAUAAUCUUUUGAGCCAGGCUCACUAUAUAACCCUGGCUAGCCUGGAUCUGCCUUUGUGUGCUAGGAUCAAAGGCAUACUCCAUCCAGCACUGUCUACCUAGCCUGUAGCUACUUCUGCUUGCUUGCUUGCUCCCCCCCCUUUUUUUUUGAAAAUAAGUCUUGGAUAUAUACAUAGUAUAUACUAUGUAUACUUGACUUUUUAAAAGAUAUUUUAUGUAUAUGUAUAAUUAUCUUAUGUGUAUGACUAUGCUGUCUUCAUCGGAUCCCAUUACAGAUUGUUGUAGUUGCUGGGAAUUGAACUCAGGACCUCUGGAAAAGCAGCCAGUGCUCUUAACUUAUGAGCCAUUUCUCCAGCCCGCACCCUCCCACCCCACUCCCCAUCUCCCACCUAACCUUUUAAAUUCCACAUUCUCCCAUUUCAGUCUCCCCAAAGUACUAAGGUAAUUGGUGUGGUUCACCAUGUCUGGCUCUUAGGACGCUCUUGUAGUUAUAUCCUUGUAGUGUCAAACAUGAUGACAGAAAUUUAAUGCUUCCCCAAAAGGACUAAUGAAAAUAGUUUUCUCUUGUGAAUUUUGUUUUGAUUUGAGACAAGGUCUUAUUGCAUAUCCCAGGCUGGCCUAAAACUUAAUAUGGCCUCAAACUCAGGGCUUUUCUCCCUCAACUCCUUGAGUGCUAGAAUAGGCAUCACCUUGCUUGGUAGAAUAUUUAUUUUAUUUAACACCUGAAGAGACUGGUAGACUAAUACAUAAACUGUGCAGGCGGUUAGCGGGGGCUGGAGCUAUGGCUCAGUGGUUAAGAACACUGACUGCUCUUCUGAAGGUCCUGAGUUCAAAUCCCAGCAACCACAUGGUGGCUCACAACCAUCUGUAAUGGGAUCGGAUGCCCUCUUCUGGUGUGUCUGAAGACAGCUACAGUGUACUCACAUACAUUAAAUGAAUAAAUAAAAAUAAGAUCUGAUGCUCUCUUCUGGUGCAUCUGAAGACAGCAACAGUGUACUUAGGUAUAAUAAUAAAUAAAUCUUUUUUUUAAAAAGUGCAUGGGGGGCGAGGGGCAUAGAGUGCACAUAAAGCUAAGGAGUCACAGAAGAAAGGUUAAUGCCUUUCAAGGCAAAUUAAUGAAACAGAAGAUAAUUCUAUUUGAAUUUUAGUGACAAUUCUUAAGAGAGCUUACUAGUGGAGAAAGACAAUAAAACCAUAUAUUUUAAGUUUUAAUAGAACUAUAAAAGGACACUGCUGGAACAUAGAAUUUCAGGUAGGAACAAAGAGAUCAUAAUCAAGUAACAAUAAGCUCCUAACUUGUAGUGGUUGGCUGAUUUCUAAGCAGUAUUAAUU